UAUACACGAGAAGCAUAGACACGCUUAUGACCGCUCUCUCGCUCUCGCUUCCUCUCUCGCUCUCGCUUCCUCUCUCACCACCGUCCUCCUCUGCUUCACAACAAAACACAACCGUCCGGCCUGCUCCUCGCCUUUCCUGUUUCAUCUCCCCGUCACUUUUUUCAAUUUGGGGACGUCGUUAGCAUCUUGAAGUUCCACGUAAAAGCGAACGCGAAGGCUCGUGCUUCUGUAUAUAUAGAUAUAUUUGUAUAUUGCAAGUGCUGCUUUUAAUGGCAGCAGCACCAGUGAAGCCGCAGCCGCUGCAUAACUUCCCCCUCUCCCUCAAAUGGGGUCAGACCGCCGCACUCUCUGCCCCCAGCAACCACCACCACCAUCGGAGUAGUAAUAGCAGCCUUCCCACGUCCGCACUUGCACCUGACACUGAGACUGAAUCUGACCCGGAACAAACAACAAUCCGGCAUCCUCAUCGGGUCGGAUCCCGCUCUGCUCGUGCUCAUCGUUUCUCAUUCACGUCUUGCACACCCCUCUUGCCGAAACCGAAAAAUUCAUCGACGGAAAAUCAGCAGAAACAAACAACGUGUUUGGAAACAGAAGUCGCUGAAAAGCCGCAGAAGCAAGUCACCGUUCUGGAAAACUGCAACGGAGCUGACGCUGAAGAAGACGAAGAGGAGGAUAAACAUAAGCAAGAAGAGGAAGAAGGCAAUUCGAGGCCAUGGAAAUUGAGGCCAAGAAGAGGAAUUUUGGCAGCUAAGAGUAGAGGGGAGUUGAAAGAAGCGGUGAUGGUACAUGUAAAUGAGAAGAAGGAGAGGGAGGAUACUCCGCAGUUCCAGCCGAAAUCGAUGAGAUUGAGGGGAUUGGUAGAGUCUACUGGAGGAGGCGCCGGGACUUGCUUGGAAAAGAAGGAGAAGAGGAAAUUUUGGAUAGCUCUGUCUAGAGAAGAAAUUGAGGAGGAUAUUUUCGCUUUGACUGGGUCGAGACCUGCUAGGAGGCCCAGGAAACGACCGAAGAACGUGCAGAAGGUGCUUGAUAACGUUUUUCCUGGAUUGUGGUUGGUGGGAACUACAGCCGAUUCUUAUAGAGUUGCCGAUCCUCCAGUGAAGAGGUAAAUAUAACCGUGUAUCAUCAGAUAUUCGAGGUCUUUCUGGACGUUUGAAGUGCUACUCCCGCAGCAAUGAGGCCUCAAUUUGAGUGAGUUCUGUGAAAAGGCAGAGGAGGCUUCCCCACUUCUUUGGGGGCAGAGUAGCAAGCUUCUUGUUUGUUUCAAAACUUAAUUCAAUAUAUGAUUUCUGACUGGAGGCCCUGCUUGCUUCCUUGUUGUGGAAGUCUUAUUCUCCGGUUGAGAUUCAUCAAGUCAAAUUCCUGAUAAGCUAGGACUGAAGAUGCACAGAAAAGUUAGCUAGGGUGGAAUCUGAUGUUGAAAGUUAUUCGCAUAAACAAGUUCUCUCUUCUUUGGGAAGUUUGGUCAACUAGGAUGAUUCAGUACUGUGGCCAAUAUUGGAAGAAACGAACUGCUUGCAACCAUUUUUUGUGGGAAUUAAUUAAUUGGGUAUAUUCAGUGGGUUUUUUGGUCUCCAACAAUUUUGCGGCAAAGUUGCCACAGAUCCAAACAGGGACAACCUAGGGAUAAAAGAUAGAAGAACUAUUUCGUAGGGAUUUUUUUAUCAAUGUUAUUUCAGUUGCUCUUCUGUCCUAAUGGCUGAUUGUUACUUUUGUUUGCAGUUGUGUGAAUAUUUUUCUUGUAAUAAUAUAUUUCUUAUAUAUAUUUCUGGUAAACUGAGACUUGGUCAAAGUUGGGAAAACUUUCUGUUCAAAUGGUAGGUAGGCUGUAUAGUUUGAUAAGGCUGAAGGAAAGAUUAAUAUAUGUGAUGUUAUGAGCUUUCUUUUGAUGUGCAUCAUUUUGACAAACAAUCAUGGGCACUUGGUCCUUCAUUUUAAAUCAAAUUAUUUUCUUAUCUUUCACGUACUUGAUGUCUGUACUUGGAUGAUCAUAUGGAUAUGUUCUAAGUAUAGAGCAAAACUGUGAGUGAGGGAGGGUUCUGUACCAACACAUCAAGUGCAAAAGCAAUUUGUUAUCUUCAAGCUUCGAUUUGAUGAUUAAAUUUGGUUUAGUGCAGUUGUGUUCUUAUUUCUCCAGGAAAAAUUAGGAUCGUUCCUGCAUUUUCACUUGGUGGCCAAACUUUGUAAACUUUGGAGGAGUAUUUCAUUGUGUUGCUGUUUAUGUAAUUAUUAUAGAAUUGCAAUAGAACUUGAAUGUCUGCAUCUAAGAUAUGUUAUCAUAGAGUUCUAUUUCUUACCAAGUGACUAAUUCUUGAUUGUCCAUUGCUCUGCAAUCAGAAACAUCAAGAACAAGUUAAGCACUGGCAAAAUUCUACUUGUGGAAUUAAUUUUUAUUCACACUAUCCUCAUCUAGUUUGUGUGCAUGCUGUAAUCGCUUUGAAAAAUCUGUUGCAUGGGUCUAGAUGGGUUAAAUCUAGGUAUCAAAUUACUGAUAAAUUUGACGGUGACUUGUAUUCUUGAAGGGACUGUAAAUUCCUGAUUCAGUUUUGGCAUUACUUACGGUUGAUAUUUGGGAUUUUGUGCAGCUCCUAUUUCUGAGAUAUCCUCAAGAGUGAUAUUCUCAUAACAAAUGCAUCUUUUUUAACCCUUUGCCUUAAACAGCAACUUAGUUGGUCUGUCAUUUUAGGGAGGUUGGAUAUUUCUUUCGCAUUAAUGGGAAGUUAAUCUAUUUGUCCAGCUCAAAUUGAUUGGCCUGUUCCCUAAUAGUAUAACUCUAUAGUAAUUUAUGGUAAUUAUGGAUUUUCAUGUUGAUGUUGAUUACCUACUUUUCCUCUCUCUCCCCUCCCCCUCCCUCCUCCUUAUAGUUGAAGAUUCUACCUGCCAUCUUGAAUAAAUGAAUUUAUUGCUUUCUCAGCUCCUUUUAAAUAAUGUAGCAUCAUUUUAGUUGUAAUGCACAUCGACCCAUGAAUCUCUAGUGUGAAGAACAAAUGAUGAACAGCUAAUAUGGAGGCAUGUCUGAUGUCUGGGAGUGGGAGAAUGUGGAGUUCCUUUCUAAAACAUGAUGGUAUUGGUAAGACACAUGUGAGCCAAGUGAGUUAAACACCAAAAUUUGUGAAAAUGCAAUUGAUCUUUCCUUUUUUUAUUUUGGGCUAAAGAUAGUAAGGAAGCUUCAUCAUGCUGAUGCUAUUAUUCCAUUGCCUGAUGGUUUCUUUCUAAUAGACAUUAAACUUCAGAACCACUGUAAAUUGAUGCUAUUGAUUUUCGUUUGUGU